GCUGGGCUGACCUCUACUCACAAUGGGCUUCCGUCUGCCCAGUAGAGCCUUCUCUGGGUGCACAGAUGCCAGCACUCAACGAUGGGGUGGGGACCAGCCUGGGCACGGGGGACGUCCUGGCCCAUCCCAGGGUUUCUGGAGGGCGAGGGAAAACUCCUAGAAUGGAACUGCCAAUGGGCAUGGGAUUUCUUUUGGGGAAUGAGAAUGUUCUGGAACUGGAGCUUGGGGCAGUCGCAUGGCCUGGGAAGUGCAGUAAAUGCCACUGAGCUGUGCAACUUGAAGGGUGCAUUUCAUGCAUGUGAAUUAUGUCUGAAUAACAAGAAAAGCAGUCCCCAAGGAUUUGCACGAUGACUCACAGGGGCUAUGAGAACUGGACUCUCUUGGAAGCUGCUGCUGCACCACAAUUCAUGUGACACCCGCUGUCCAGUGCAUAGCACGGUGGGAACCUGCCAUCCAAGGAGGUUGGGAUUGGCUGUUGGUCAGAUUGGUUCCUUGUUGUUUUCCUUUGUCCCGGAGGAGCCUCAGGGCUUUGCUCAAUCAGGGCAAGGCCCACACACAGUGCUC
rnacentral:lncRNA from 1 species